UUGUCGAGGGCCUUGAGAGGCUCCGGGGUCCGAGAGAACGCUCCGCGACGGGUUCGGACACGACCCCGAUCGAGUUGAGAAUUUCAACCACCACGAGUCGUGACGUCCCGAGGGGAGGACUCCAAUUUAGGCCAGCCGCGCUCCGAGGAGCCCGGGAGGCCAAAUUCCGUCACUCCCGACUUACUUGGAAAAGCAAGGGGGAGGUGGCGACGAUGCGUGACGCCCAGGCAGACGUGCCCUCAGCCUAGAGGCUUCGGGCGCAACUUGCGUUCAAAAACUCGAUGGUUCACGGGAUUCUGCAAUUCACACCAAGUAUCGCAUUUCGCUACGUUCUUCAUCGAUGCGAGAGCCUAGAUAUCCGUUGCCGAGAGUCGUAUUGGUUUAUACGAUUCAGACACGCCGCACCCGCCCCGCGGAAACCGCAGGAGGAUGCUGGCGAUCCGUUCAAGUGGUCCUUGGCGCUUUCCGCGCCGGAUAUUUAGUUGGGUCCGGGGAAAUUCCGGACAUUUGCCCUUCGUUCCCCCGGGGUUUUAAAAACGUGUUCGCGGUGGUCUUGGGGCAUCGAC
rnacentral:misc_RNA from 1 species